GAUGAACGCUGGCGGCGUGCCUAAUACAUGCAAGUCGAGCGAACAGACGAGGAGCUUGCUCCUCUGACGUUAGCGGCGGACGGGUGAGUAACACGUGGAUAACCUACCUAUAAGACUGGGAUAACUUCGGGAAACCGGAGCUAAUACCGGAUAAUAUAUUGAACCGCAUUGUUCAAUAGUGAAAGACGGUUUUGCUGUCACUUUUAGAUGGAUCCGCGCCGCAUUAGCUAGUUGGUAAGGUAACGGCUUACCAAGGCAACGAUGCGUAGCCGACCUGAGAGGGUGAUCGGCCACACUGGAACUGAGACACGGUCCAGACUCCUACGGGAGGCAGCAGUAGGGAAUCUUCCGCAAUGGGCGAAAGCCUGACGGAGCAACGCCGCGUGAGUGAUGAAGGUCUUCGGAUCGUAAAACUCUGUUAUUAGGGAAGAACAAAUGUGUAAGUAACUAUGCACGUCUUGACGGUACCUAAUCAGAAAGCCACGGCUAACUACGUG
rnacentral:rRNA from 1 species